rnacentral:rRNA from 1 species
UACGAAGGGGACUAGCGUUGUUCGGAAUUACUGGGCGUAAAGGGCGCGUAGGCGGCAUGGCAAGUCAGGAGUGAAAGGCCUGGGCUCAACCGAGGAACUGCUUUUGAUACUGCCAAGCUAGAGUGCGGAAGGGGCAACUGGAAUUCCCAGUGUAGCGGUGAAAUGCGUAGAUAUUGGGAAGAACACCUGAGGCGAAGGCGGGUUGCUGGGCCGACACUGACGCUGAGGCGCGAAAGCGUGGGGAGCGACAGGA